AAUAACCAACUUCAUCAUGGCUUCUUCUUUCUCUUCCCAUAAAAACACUACGUGAUCCACUCUCUCCCAUUAUUCCCACUGCCAUGAAGAGAAACUGCUAUCUGGAUCUUCGUUUUCGCUCUUCCUCUGCUUCCUCAUCACCCCACCAUUCAAUAACUUUGUAGGAAUGAGCUGUUGAACAUGAACAAAAAAGUUGUGGCCAUUCCACAUGCUGCUGCUGCUCGCCACAUGCUUGACGUCACAGAACUUCAGGCAAGGGUGAUAAUAUGGUUGGCUAGUCAAGAAAUGGAUGGUAGCAGCAGAGGAGCAGCUUCUGCCACGUCGCUUUCGUUGCAGUCACAACCGUUGCUAAUGCAUGCCCCCCAAGGCUUCUCAAUUAAGACUUCCCUGCGGAAUUUCCUUCACAAGAGAAAGAAAAGGUCCCAAAAGUCACACGCCCAUUAGCACUACCUACUCAUUUUUUCACAUCCAUUUUUUUUUUUUUAUCAUUCAUUUUAGUUACACCCACUCAAAAUAAUAAUAAUAAUAAUAAUAAUAAUAAUAAUAAUAAUAAUAAUAAUCAUCUAUUCUUGAGUGUAAGGUGAUGUAAAGUCAAAUUAAAGCUUAUGCCAACCAAAAAUAUCUUUCAUCCAUUUCAGUCCUCUGGGAGACCAACAUCUCAAUACCACUUUUCCACUUCCUAAUAAUAAAUGAAAAAAAGGACCGUUGCUGAUUGGAAAGUUUGAAUCUCGAUGGUGCUACCUUAUGUUGAACCAAAUGAGUGUACUCUUAUGAAAAGGAUGUUUGAUUUUAAUUAAUGUUUUAAAUCCAUUAAAUGUGUUUAGAAUUUUAAUGAUUUUCUUUUCCUAAACGGUAUUCCUAUUGCAUCCAUUUAGAGCACCCAAUUAUUGGUUGAAAUUGGCAUAAGCAAGCAAGAAAGUGUGGAUGGGUGGCAUUGCAUUAACCAAAGAGAAGAAAAUAGGAAAAAGUGAAGACAAUAGGCAUGUGGAGGAGUUUGAGAAUCUCUGAACAAAAAUGAAAGAAAAGUACAUGGCGCGCGAAACAAUUAAGAAAAACACAAUGACUGGUGGCUUUUCAAAUUCCUAAAAAACAUUAGAAUGUUUUCAAAAAAAAAAAAAAAUUCUGAUGCGUAAAAAAACAAUAAGUUUAAAAAUACAAUUCAACUUUUAUAUUACUUU